GAUGAACGCUGGCGGCGUGCCUAAUACAUGCAAGUCGAGCGAACGGACGAGAAGCUUGCUUUUCUGAUGUUAGCGGCGGACGGGUGAGUAACACGUGGAUAACCUACCUAUAAGACUGGGAUAACUUCGGGAAACCGGAGCUAAUACCAGAUAAUAUUUUGAACCGCAUGGUUCAAAAGUGAAAGACGGUCUUGCUGUCACUUAUAGAUGGAUCCGCGCUGCAUUAGCUAGUUGGUAAGGUAACGGCUUACCAAGGCAACGAUGCAUAGCCGACCUGAGAGGGUGAUCGGCCACACUGGAACUGAGACACGGUCCAGACUCCUACGGGAGGCAGCAGUAGGGAAUCUUCCGCAAUGGGCGAAAGCCUGACGGAGCAACGCCGCGUGAGUGAUGAAGGUCUUCGGAUCGUAAAACUCUGUUAUUAGGGAAGAACAUAUGUGUAAGUAACUGUGAACAUCUUGACGGUACCUAAUCAGAAAGCCACGGCUAACUACGUG
rnacentral:rRNA from 1 species